rnacentral:rRNA from 1 species
GAUGAACGCUGGCGGCGUGCCUAAUACAUGCAAGUCGAGCGAACAGACGAGGAGCUUGCUCCUCUGACGUUAGCGGCGGACGGGUGAGUAACACGUGGAUAACCUACCUAUAAGACUGGGAUAACUUCGGGAAACCGGAGCUAAUACCGGAUAAUAUAUUGAACCGCAUGGUUCAAUAGUGAAAGACGGUUUUGCUGUCACUUAUAGAUGGAUCCGCGCCGCAUUAGCUAGUUGGUAAGGUAACGGCUUACCAAGGCAACGAUGCGUAGCCGACCUGAGGGGGUGAUCGGCCACACUGGAACUGAGAAUCGGUCCAGACUCCUACGGGAGGCAGCAGUAGGGAAUCUUCCGCAAUGGGCGAAAGCCUGACGGAGCAACGCCGCGUGAGUGAUGAAGGUCUUCGGAUCGUAAAACUCUGUUAUUAGGGAAGAACAAAUGUGUAAGUAACUAUGCACGUCUUGACGGUACCUAAUCAGAAAGCCACGGCUAACUACGUG